rnacentral:rRNA from 1 species
UUGAACGCUGGCGGCAUGCUUUACACAUGCAAGUCGAACGGUAACAGGUCUUCGGAUGCUGACGAGUGGCGAACGGGUGAGUAAUGCAUCGGAACGUGCCCAGUCGUGGGGGAUAACGCAGCGAAAGCUGUGCUAAUACCGCAUACGAUCUAUGGAUGAAAGCGGGGGAUCGCAAGACCUCGCGCGAUUGGAGCGGCCGAUGUCAGAUUAGCUAGUUGGUGGGGUAAAGGCCCACCAAGGCGACGAUCUGUAGCUGGUCUGAGAGGACGACCAGCCACACUAGGACUGAGACACGGCCCAGACUCCUACGGGAGGCAGCAGUGGGGAAUUUUGGACAAUGGGCGCAAGCCUGAUCCAGCAAUGCCGCGUGCAGGAAGAAGGCCUUCGGGUUGUAAACUGCUUUUGUACGGAACGAAAAGGUCUGGGUUAAUACCCUGGGCUCAUGACGGUACCGUAAGAAUAAGCACCGGCUAACUACGUG